rnacentral:tRNA from 1 species
CCAGUGGUGGUUCAGUGGUAGGGUUCUUGCCUUCCAUGCAGGAGUCCCGGGUUUGAGUCCCAGCCAGUGCA